rnacentral:rRNA from 1 species
UACAGAGGGGGCAAGCGUUGUUCGGAAUUACUGGGCGUAAAGGGCGCGUAGGCGGCCCGCUAAGUCGAACGUGAAAUCCCCGAGCUCAACUCGGGAACUGCGUCCGAUACUGGCGGGCUUGAAUCCGGGAGAGGGAUGCGGAAUUCCAGGUGUAGCGGUGAAAUGCGUAGAUAUCUGGAGGAACACCGGUGGCGAAGGCGGCAUCCUGGACCGGCAUUGACGCUGAGGCGCGAAAGCGGUGGGGAGCAAACGGG